AGUUUAAAUCUAUAGUGAUUUCGAAAAGGUUAUAGGUAAUAACUAUUGAUCUAAAACUAAAGUAUCAUGAAAUACCGAUACCUACCUGCGAACAUUGAUUAAAUGCUCGUCUUACUGUUCAUUGUUAUUUGUUCGAAUAGUACUAAAAAUAACUAAACUAAAUUCUAUAGUUCUGCAAAACGUAUAUUGUCCAUGUUGUGUGAUAAUAUAAAUUUGUACCGUGUAAUGAUGGCAUACUGACGCGCUAAAAUAGUAAAUUAAAACAAAACAUCAAAACUCAACUUUCUCGUCUCAGACGGGAUUAUUAAAUUGUUUUUGAAAAACACAAAAACCAUUUUAUUUUAAUUUUGUCGUCUCUUUGUUUAUUGUUACCUAAUACCUAUCAUUGUAUUGUGUGUGGGCGCGAACUCGGCAUAAAACGGAGAAAACGAAUACGAGUUCUCUAAAUAGACCUUUAUUUAUUAUUUCUGUAAGUCUCUUUUACGUACCUCGUUUUUUUUCGGAUAAAGUGUUAUUGCUGUUUUAAAUAUUGGUAAAUAAGACGAUAACAGAACCGAGAUUUUUAUCUAAUUCAUUCAAUCUAGAUACUGCAGUGUUUAUUUUUUUACACGAUUACUGUAAAUCGAUUCAUUCUACGUCUGUUUUCAUGUUGUUCUGUUCGUCAAUAAAUAUUUUGAAUAUGUUUGCCACUGCAUUUGACAAGUGAAUUAAUAAUUGUUGUCAUUGUAUGUCGCUUAAACCUAUCGAUUACCGGUUUUACUCUAAACAGCUUUUGAUCAGCUAUUUGCAUUCUAUGACUGUCAUACUGUAUAGAACAAGACACAUUAAAUAGAUUAUAGAUAGAUCUAUUUAGUCAUAGAACGAAGUACGUUUCACAACAGUUAUGACGGAACUACCUCAUGGUUCUUCGCAUACCUUCAUCUUGGGACUUUAAAAAAAAAAAAAAACUUCACACGCUUACAUUGUCCAAACAACUCAGAUCGAUCAUUUUGAUAACUUGUAAUUGGAUCACUGGCUUCUCAAUCUUGUAAGUCUAAAAAUGUUGAACCUUGAACGUAAUUUGCCAACACAUAGUAUUGAGGAGAGGAGGUAUAGUUCAUUUGCUGCAAGAAUCCAAUGCCAUAAGUAUGACUAAUAAUAUUAUUGUUUUUGGACUAUACCUAUCCGAGUAAUAAUAAUUUUGUUAUCUUUAUACAUAAAUAUUAACUUCUUUAAAAUUUUAAAUAAAAACUAAUCAUUCGCUUUAUGGUCUACUAAAAAUAUAUUUUUUCUUUUUCCUUUUAA